rnacentral:rRNA from 1 species
GAUGAACGUUGGCGGCGUGGAUUAGGCAUGCAAGUCGUACGGGUCGGUGUAGCAAUACAACGGCAAGUGGCGAAAGGGAGAGUAACACGUAGAUACCUACCCUCUGGUCGGGGAUACCGCGGCAUAACCGCAAGUAAUACCCGAUAAAAUCUCCGGAUCAAAGGUGUGAUUCCGCCGGAGGAGGGGUCUGCGUUCUAUCAGCUUGUUGGUGAGGUAAUGGCUCACCAAGGCUAAGACGGAUACGGGGUGUGAGAGCAUGCCCCCGCUCACUGGGACUGAGACACUGCCCAGACACCUACGGGUGGCUGCAGUCGAGAAUCUUCGGCAAUGGGCGCAAGCCUGACCGAGCGACGCCGCGUGCGGGAUGAAGGCCUUCGGGUUGUAAACCGCUGUCGAGGGGAAUGAAGUGUAGGUGGGUACUCCCAUCUAUUUGACAGAUCCCUGGAGGAAGCAUGGGCUAAGUUCGUGCCAGCCGCCGCAGUAA